CUCACCACCUAUCUCUCACAAGUUAAUCACUCUUCAUGUUUAGUCGAUUUUUCUCAAUCAUAACUUUUGGUUGGCGUUGAAAAGGGUUUUGAAUUAACGGCUUAAACAACUUCUAAGGCUACGAGAACCACCUGUGGGGGGCGAUAUGUUUCUUGCAUCAUUUAAUCUAAGCAUAUGCAGAGGUAGUGAUGUGUGAUCUUGGACUAAGUUCAGAACUGAAGUUUGCAUGUAAUUCUGCACUAAUAAAAGUUGCAGGGUG